UUUUUAUUUUUAAAAAAGAUAAGUCGUAACAUAGUAGAUGUACUGGAAAGUGUAUCUAGAAUGA
rnacentral:rRNA from 1 species